rnacentral:lncRNA from 7 species
ACAGAAUGAUUAGGAGUUGAUUCUCUCUCUUUUUUUUAGCAAUGUAUCAAGUCCGCCCACUCGCCCAAAACCGCGGUGGGCGGCGCUGUUCUGCUUCUGUGACCGUAUAGAAACGACUUGUUCUUCGACAUUUUGAACACGUGAGUCCCCGUCUAUCUUUUUUUUUCUCUCUCUCUCUUCGGUAAUGGUGUGGAGUGGAGAGCAAGAUGACUAGAUGAGGACAUUUCUCCCGGAGAGGCCGGCAGC